rnacentral:rRNA from 1 species
AUUGAACGCUGGCGGCAUGCUUUACACAUGCAAGUCGAACGGUAACAGGCCGCAAGGUGCUGACGAGUGGCGAACGGGUGAGUAAUGCAUCGGAACGUGCCCAGUCGUGGGGGAUAACGCAGCGAAAGCUGCGCUAAUACCGCAUACGAUCUAUGGAUGAAAGCGGGGGACCGUAAGGCCUCGCGCGAUUGGAGCGGCCGAUGUCAGAUGAGGUAGUUGGUGGGGGAAAGGCUCACCAAACCAACGAUCUGUAGCUGGUCUGAGAGGACGACCAGCCACACUGGGACUGAGACACGGCCCAGACUCCUACGGGAGGCAGCAGUGGGGAAUUUUGGACAAUGGGCGCAAGCCUGAUCCAGCAAUGCCGCGUGCAGGAAGAGGGCCUUCGGGUUGUAAACUGCUUUUGUACGGAACGAAACGGUCCUGGUUAAUACCUGGGGCUAAUGACGGUACCGUAAGAAUAAGCACCGGCUAACUACGUGCCAGCCGCCGCCGUAACAC